rnacentral:rRNA from 1 species
GGUGUUUCGGGUGUGGGCUUGUGUAGGAUAGGUGGGAGACUGUGAAGCGGGGCACGCCAGUGUUCGUGGAGUCAUCGUUGAAAUACCACUCUGGUCACUCUGGAUAUCUAACUUCGGCCCGUGAUCCGGGUCAGGGGACAGUGCCUGAUGGGGKAGUUUUWAACUGGGGGGGCGGGUUUGCCCUCCCCCAAAAAAAAUGUAAACGGGAGGCGCCCCCAAAAAGGGUUUCCCCCUCAGCCCUGGGUUUGGGCAAAUCAGGUGUCGAGUGCAAAGUGCACAAAGGGGAGCUUGACUGUGAGAGUGGCAGCUCGAGCAGGGGACGAAAAGUCGGGACUAGUGAUCCGGCGGCUCGUUGUGGAAGGCCGUCGCUCAACGGAUAAAAGGUACCUCGGGGAUAACAGGCUGAUCUUGCCCAAGAGUCCAUAUCGAC